AUUGAACGCUGGCGGAAUGCUUUACACAUGCAAGUCGAACGGCAGCACGGGGGCAACCCUGGUGGCGAGUGGCGAACGGGUGAGUAAUACAUCGGAACGUGCCCAGUCGUGGGGGAUAACGUAGCGAAAGCUACGCUAAUACCGCAUACGAACUCUGGUUGAAAGCGGGGGAUCGCAAGACCUCGCGCGAUUGGAGCGGCCGAUGGCAGAUUAGGUAGUUGGUGGGGUAAAGGCCUACCAAGCCGACGAUCUGUAGCUGGUCUGAGAGGACGACCAGCCACACUGGGACUGAGACACGGCCCAGACUCCUACGGGAGGCAGCAGUGGGGAAUUUUGGACAAUGGGCGCAAGCCUGAUCCAGCCAUUCCGCGUGCAGGAUGAAGGCCCUCGGGUUGUAAACUGCUUUUGUACGGAACGAAACGGCGACCGCUAAUACCGGUUGCUAAUGACGGUACCGUAAGAAUAAGCACCGGCUAACUACGUGCCAGCCGCCGCCGUAAAAC
rnacentral:rRNA from 1 species